CUGGGUGUGGCGCAGUUUGGUAGCGCGCUAGAAUGGGGUUCUAGAGGUCGCAAGUUCAAUUCUUGUCACCCAGACCA
rnacentral:tRNA from 1 species